rnacentral:rRNA from 1 species
CCUACGGGCGGCAGCAGUGGGGAAUAUUGCACAAUGGGGGAAACCCUGAUGCAGCGACGCCGCGUGAGUGAAGAAGUAUUUCGGUAUGUAAAGCUCUAUCAGCAGGGAAGAGAAUGACGGUACCUGACGAAGAAGCCCCGGCUAACUACGGGCCAGCAGCCUCGGUAAUACGUCGGGGGCAAGCGUUAUCCGGAUUUACUGGGUUUAACGGGAGCGUAGGUGGCAGGGCAAGUCAGAUGUGAAAACCCGGGGCUCAACCCCGGGAGUGCAUGUGAAACUGUCCCGCUGGAGUGCAGGAGAGGUUAGCGGCAUUCCUCGUGUCGCCGUGACAUGCAUAGAUAUUAGG